ensembl:lncRNA
CCGGACCGGGCCGGGAGCCCCCGGCACUUUGAGACGAGCGCAGCCAACAUUCGGAUUUGACACCAGGCCCUCGGCCAAUCCGAGAGGGCUUUUCACCUGCCAUCGCUUCCUCCGCCAAUCAGACGGCGUGUUUGGGCCGAGAGCCCUCCCCGGCCAAUCGGGAGCCGGCUGAGCCACUUAGUUAAUGAUGCAGCAGUACAGGGAAGACUAUCACAUGUGAGCUGGAAGGCUGCCAACAUGGAGACACGGAGAGAGCAAGGUAAACAACUUUCCAACGCCAAAAUGAUGACAUUUAAUCCCUAAAUGCUAGCUUCCCGUCUCGACUCAUCCUUAACCCCUUUCAGCUGGUGUGGAAGCGUCUGGAAGGCACCGUGUACCUGUCCCCAGUGCUUUUAAAAACUGGCCGACGUGCCCUGCAAUGAUCACUGCGUCACCGUUUGCCACUUUCCGAACUACGCAGUGGCAAAGCCCCGAGCCCAGCUCACAGGGUGGCUGUUAACCCCUGCACCCAGCCCUGCCUCCACGCCAGCCCUCGGGGGGACGGCAGGGAAUAAAAAGCCCGAGCAAAACACGAAAACAGCAGUCUGCAAAGUUGUCAUCUCUCCCCCACGACUACUGCCCUCCUCUGCAUUACAGCAAUGCCGGCAAGAGUGGCAUUCGUACAACCUGUACCGACGUUCCAUUGAGAAAACAGCUCUGACGCAGAGCAGAGCAAUCAUACCCAGCCGAAAUAAUAAUGAAGGCACUUGGGGAGCUGAACUUAGGGACGAUGGGGGAAGGGGACGCCCUGCAAAGCAUUACAAAACGUAGAUGCAGCUCCAGCCCCAUCCUGAUCAAAGGGUACGUACGUGGGAAAGACGAACCGGACCGAGGAGCUCUGCCCGUGCACCAGCUGCGCAGCGUUCAGCCCUCUGCUUGCUGUGUAGCGCCGCAGAAUAGAAGGUUCCAGAAUUUUCCUUUCCGUUAACCCUUUCGGUGUCUGCCCACUCUCCCUCCCCGCGGGAUUAAGCGCGCCGGGUCUCCAGCAUCGUCAACGGGCGAAGCCUCCUACGCCAACCGAGCCCAGAUAUGUUCUCUAAAUGACACUGUCUGGUGUCAGGAGCUCCGUCCCUGGUGUUGGUAUUACUUCUCUUUCUUGAGCCCUCUCUCCCUCUCCGGCUGCUUCUCUCCCCUCUUGCUGCAGCAGGGCUGUUGCUGGUAGACCUAUCGACGGAGCUUGCUCUCUCGCUGAGCUCUGUGACGCAGCUCUAAAUUCUCCAGCCUGCUCCUUGUGUUAUAACAGCGGAACUGCAGCCUUCCAGGGAGCCCGUGCCAGCAGUGCCAGGGCCAGGCACACCGAGGGAGCCUCACUCCUGGACGCUGCACCUUUUUUUGGUGAUUAUUAUGUUCCUCACCUGUGCUUCUCUGCUGCCUUCUGAGCCUCUCAGCCUCGCAUCUCCCUCUCUGCUUCUGAGUCAUGCUUGCUGGGUUAACUCUUUUAGGAUUGGUAGUCAGCAACACAAAUCUUGAACGAGCGCAGCUAAAACCACAGCCAACUUUGUGGUGAUUUCUGCUUUAAAAAAAACCAAAGCAAAUCUUCUUGGCUCUAAGAAACAAAAACAUACACACACACACACGUUCCAGUAGAGAGUUGGUGCUUUUCAAUUAACUGUUUCGGUGUCAGGAACUACUGUCUGAUGUCCUGAAAUAAAGGGAUCUGGGCCUACAUCCUGCAAAUACUCAGCCAGCAUUCCCUUGUAGCAUAAAGCAAGUUAAAAGGAACCACUUGCAGGGAUGGAUGCGGGACUUCUGGACAUAAAAGCACAAAAAUGCUGCUGGAUCCACGUGAUCCUCUUGUGCUGGUUGCAAGACAUUGAUCUGACUGUGGUUCAGCCACUGAGCAGAUGCACUGUGUAGGAUAAGGUACUGAAAGUGCUAGAAAGCUAUAGGCUCUGCUUAAUCUGAACAGUAUUAAUAAGUGUUACCACAGACACUUCAGAUUCAGAAUGCUCAGUGUAGGCAGGGGAACUAAUAGCUGCAUUCCGGGAGUCUCCAGAAUGCAAUCAUCUCUGUCAAAAAGGUUCACCAGCAGCUGCAUAUUGCAGCACAGCAGGCGCAGCCAGGCAAGCAAAGUGCUGCUGCUGAGCAGCUCUCCUCGCCCCUAGUCCUCUGCCUCGUGUUAGCUCCAGUGCAGUCAACUUCAGCACCAGGCAGAGGAAGCGCUGCUCCCAUCUCGGAGCCUCGAAACCGGAAAAUGUGGAGGAGGAUCAGUGGUAGAGAUGGAGCAUCUGGGAAUCAAAGCAGAGCUAAUGGAAAGCCAGCCCUGCAUGAGGGAGUUCAUGCGUCAGACUGCGUGUACAACGGAGCCAGCAGCCCAUUUGAAAACCUUGGAAUCAGGAGAGAUCACUCCGCAGAGGCAUCUGCCAUUUUAGUGCUGAACUCUGGAGCUGACUGUGAGCUUUGGGCUUUUCACUACAACCAGAGCUGAAGUAACCACUAUUUUUUUUCCUCUUUGCAGCGUCUGAAGAGCCUGAGCUAUUUUGGGAUUUGUCUGUACUACACUGAAAAUGACACCUGUUACACACAGGCAUAAAUGAGAAGAAUUGCAAGCUCCUGGUUUCUCAGAUACAGUUCUGCCACGGAAAAAAAGAUAGGAGCUGGGGGUGUGGGAGGGCAGCCCUGGCUCUCAGCGUGGGGUGAGGAACUGACCCUUGUGUAGUCAGACAGCAGUACAGGGAGUGCAUGAGGCUUGUUGCAUCUGAUGCAGACCUCCCUGUGACCAAGAGCAGUAGUGCUUGAUCAUCGAAACGCUGCAAGAUGGGGUUUCAUACAUGACCAAACCCAUGGGACUUCAAGCCUUACAGAUCUGCUUUGUGGCCAAAGCUGCAAGCGUUAACUGUUUCAGUUAAUUGUAAGAGUGCUUCAGCUACUUAAAUGAGUCACUCAGCAGUGAUGCUCUGAAGUAGGCCAGCGUUUUGUGCAAGGUUACGCAGUUGGUUUCCGUUACCCCUGAGUUAUCUCAGAAGCUCAACCACCACACAGAGGCAGAGCGGAUUUCCGUGUUCCCCAUUGCUGUGUCUGCCUGCAGCCGAUCUGCAGUGCCCCAGGGAGGUGUCAGCAGCGUGCAGACCACCCCGCAGCCCCCAGGCACUGAGCAUGGCAGUGGGAUGGACAGAGCCUGAGAAUUGGGAUGGCUGAUGGGCAUGCUUGGCUCCCAGCAACGCUGGUAUAUUAAGAAAGUAAAACAGAGGUUUGGCUUAGUUCAAAUGGUAUGCUUUUGGUUGCUUUCAAGGGAAGAGCAGUGUUUAUUUAAUGGGUUGCUUUUGUUUGAAAAUGACCAGCCGUGGGACAUUUCUGUCUUUACCUGAUCAUAAAGCAUUUACUCUGUGGAGGCACUUCAGCUCCCAAGGAGGAUCAAAGCCACUGUGCCCUGUGAAGCGCUCAGGUAUGCAACUGAAAACACGCUGAGCAAUGGAAAGGUUGGUUGGGAUAUGGCGUUGUCUGUGAGCUGAAGUAUGCAAAUAGCUGAAAUAAAAGCUAUGAUUCCACGGUGGAAAUCAAGGCUCCUGUUUUAAGUGGAUCUUAUGGACAUACAUGGUACCACCUUAUUAUUUUUUUUAAUCAUCUGAACUUUGGUUUUGUAAGGACUGUGAGGAAGCAAUGUCUGGUGCUAGAAGGCGAGCUUGGCAGCUGGAAAGAGCCCAUGGCAGUGGUGAGAGGCAGCCAGAGGGGUCUGUCUGUGUGUGAUGUAGUGGCUGUGUCCAUUCUAAAGCAGGACAGGUGCGUGGGAAAGGACUGGAAAGCAAUUCAUCAGUGAGCAGAAGUGCAGGCUGCUUGUUGCUUGUAUGCCAACAGAACGUAGAGCUGCAUCCUCAGUUCUCUGGCAUCUUCUGUGUUAUUUUCUGCUGUCAUGCUACAAUGGCCUUAAUAGCAAUAACAUAUGGAGAGUGAAGUUAUGAAAAUCUAACACUUGCAAAUGUCAUCCAAUGCCUUGUGGUGUUGUGGGUGAUAAAAUAACCUUGGCUGUCCCCGGAGAAAGGUCCUUGGUCUUUUUAAUGAUGAGCAGAGCCCCGGUGGUGCUGUGUAGUGCUUCAACUUCCCGCUGGUGAGGGCUUGGCUCGGGUUCCAAUUUAAAUGCCAUCAGCCACACCUUCCUCCCAACUGCAGGAAGCUGCGAUUGUUAAAAUCAGGGCAUGUUCCUGUUUAACUAAAAGGCUGAGAUCAAAUAAGCCAAAGGCCUCAGCAAUGCCAAACAAAUUCCUGCCCAAGACUCAGCAAGCCUGUGCAGCUGUAAAUGUGUGUAGUGCCCGACCUCAGCAUCCACGUGAGUGACGUCUCAAGGCGUCACCCUGGGAGCAGGCAGUCGGGACAAUGCGGGCAAGUUAAUGUCACACUUACUGAGUAAUAAUGCUUAGCACAAAGGUCGUCAGCUUACCAACCAAAUGUCCUGGAAUCCAAGCGGUGGUGUUUCUCAGGUGCUGACGUGGGAUCCUGCAUUGUAUCUGAAAUUAACGUAGUUUUGUGUAUGGGAAGGCUGAAUCAAAUAAAGGUUCACUAAUUUGGCUCAGACUGCAUGUGGAUUCGGGGUCAAAGCUGAGAUGGAAAUUUGGAAGUUCCUAAACGCUAAAUUUUACUCCAGCUGCACCUCUUGCUUAAUUGUAGUCCUUAUUACACAGGAGUCAAUUAGAGAGACUUAACAGCCAUCUGAAACAGAAGCUGCCGGAACAGUGCGGCUUUUAGAGGAAAUUGAUAGGAAAUUAUAUAGAGGAGGUACUUUCUUUCAUUUUUCAAAGAAAAGCAGAAAUAAAACUUUAAGGUUUUGCUUCUGUUCUCGUGUGGAUGUGGGCAGUGACAGAUGGGUCGUGGUUCUGCAAUGCUGCCCUACCAGCGAGGCGGUCCGGAUUUCAGAAACCCAGCUGGGUCCAUGGGGAAAUGUUCUGCACAGUGUGCUGAAUUUCCUUCUGCUGCAGCAGUAAUAGGAAACUUACCGAGUCAAAUGUUUAGGUUUAGCUUGUUGUUGUGUUGUUUUGCUUUGUUUUUUUUCUUGAAAGGUUUAUUGCUAUCCGGAUGAUUUUCAUUAGUGCAUGUGGCUGUGAUGAGCUCAACCACCAUCGCUGUGAUACACAUCUUUGCCAGCCCAGCGUGUGCUCACUGUGGUCCCAUCCAACCAUAGAGCAGGUUUCCUGUUUCACAUGGGGACACCAAGGCUGUGAAUGGACGGAGGGUCGCUGUGCUCAGCCCCCAGCCCUGGAAGGCAUCUGAGAGCCCAGCUGACCAGUAGACCUCACCGAGGGGAAGGCAUGGCUGAGGAUGAGCUCUGCAGUGGCCAAGCUCUGAGUUUAAGCCUCCAAUCCAGCAUCUAGUGCUAUUCCUGCCCAAAGGACAAGGCAGUAAGGGUAUAUUCUAGCAAAGGUUUUUUCCCAGACUGGAAGGUUUCCACCAAGUCAUGAAGAUGGUUGUGUUUGGGAUGGUCCGGUGGAUCCUGUGCCUCGUGUCAGCUCUGCCGUUUGGGGAAGCCCCUACAGGUGAAUCUGUGGCAAGGUAGAAGGUCCAUGGUUCUCAUAAGGAAGUGAAGGAGUUGCAAAAUGGGAGCUUCUGCAGAAAAGUGUCUUCUGGCACUAGCUGUGCCCCAUUCCUACCAUCAAUAAGCCUUGGGUGAAAAGAGGGAGGUGCUCCAGGGGGACUUGGGAAAGCAGACUGGAUGUGACAGUGAAAAAUAAGGCUAUUGGAGGCACACAGCCAUGAGCCAGGAAUGGCUGAGCCCUGAGUCCCACAGGGACUCCCUCCAUAGGUCCGCCUACAGGAGCACCAGGCUCCCACGGGUUCACUUUCAGCUGCUGAGAGCCAUUCUAUCCUUAGCACUGCCCUCCCCAGAGCUGCCACAAAUGUGUUCUGCACUGUGAGUCCAGAGAUCCACAGCUGCAGCUCUGGAGUGGGAGCUUUCCUUGGCAGCUCUGGGUGAGACGUGGGCGAGGGCACCAGUGGAAGGAGCCCCGUUACGCCCUGACCCGUGUGAGCACACGUCUGUUUCUGCGCAGCCUCCCUCGCAGACCCGCCGAAAUCUGGGUUAUAUAAUGCCACUGCUGCCUCGAAACAGGGAGGUUAAAAUGAGGUCGUCCAAGAUGGGAGCUGCCUGCAGCCUGCAGCCGCCUCGGGAGGACUGCCUGCGCCGAGCCCUGCGCGCAGAGGAGCACUGCAACAUAAACAUACAGAAACAUAGGUCAGGAUGCUGGAAGUCUCCGGAGCGCUCAUGGUGUGGAAUCAGGCCCAUUUCUUUAUUUGCAACUCCCUGUUUAUGUGACGAACUGUGCUGAGCAGGCAGCGUGACGGGCUGCGGUCACAGGGCACUGCAGAGCUGCGGGGUGCCAGAUCCACACAGCGCAGAGCUCUGUGCCACAGCCAGCCCCAGGUGUUACCCUUUUUAAGCAUGUUUUAAGGGUGCAAGGUCUACAUUAUUCCUUCCAUCAUUGCUUUAUUUGCAGUAUGCCAGGGAAAGGCCAUCGCUCCAAGGGGAUCCACGUAAGAAAGUAUAGGACUGUAAUAGAAAAAGCAAGAAUUCUAUUGCAUUAAAGCAGAUAUUCUUUUUCCAGAACACUAAUGCAAUUCCUCCAGAACAAAGAGUGGAAGCUUCCUCCUGUAAAUGCAUUUCACAGAGACCACAAGGUGGGAAACGUGGGGCUGUUUGAGGGGAGCUGCUUGGGAUGAGCACAUCAGUGAGUUCAGCACUGGGCAUUGGGUGAUUCCAUGACUGGAGGGCCACUAAAACCAACACGCUGCUGCAAACAAAGAGACAAAAGUCACAUUACCAGGAGCACAUGAGUUUGAGGAAGACCUACUCCCUCCUAACAGCAUGUGAAAACACCUGAUUUCCCAUUGUCAUGGUAAGCCUUUCCUUCAAAGCACUCCUAAUUUGUUUCCUGAUCCUCCAGCUUCUUGGUUGGUGCCAGAACAGAGCAGUGAGGGCUGGAGAGUUGUUGGCAGGACAGCAGCUGGGGAACAGUCUUUGUCUUUGACAGCAAGCGAUGGACAGUGCUUCUGUCCCACUGGGGGGAAUUUCUGCAUCACCAUCACUAAACUGGAUACAUGUGGGAUGAUUGCUGACCACAGAAAGAAGCCGAAGAUGAACCACCUACCUGCUGAAGGCAGAGGAUCAGCGCUGCUCCAGCCUUGCUCCUUGUUGGUACACAAGUUAGGCAAGUUACUUCGGGUAGAGAUCCCAGUGGGGGAUGGAGCCCUGUGUUAUCCUCCAAAGGGUCCCAGUUUGUGCAGGCAAUAUAACUGCACAUCAGUCUUUGCUGCUCCACAGCAGCACUCCCUUUGGGUUACUUCUCUGCUGAUUUUCAGAGGGAGCAGUUGGGCUGAGAACCCAGAGGGGCAGCCUGGCCAAUGCAGUGUUGCAAACUCUGCCCCAUCCUGGCAGAGCAAUGCAAAGGCAGGGAGUUACCCCGAGUAAAACCCUUGCUCAGAUGGACCAUGAACGCAGCCACAGGAUAAGGUAGCAACCCAUAACGUAGGUAAGAAGCAUUUUGCAAAGGGGCAGUGCGUAAAAACAAGCCUGAGCAAAAGGAAAGUUAAGCCUCUUAAAUAUUAAAGUUCCAAAAUUAAACCCUUGUUUAUAUAACAGUUGGGUCACUGCUGCAGAACACGGGAGUUCACAGCAUUGCACCAAAAAAGGCUCUCGUGGAGCCAACAGCUGCUCCCCAGGGGCUCAGAGCAGGUGGGGAGCAGAGCUGCAGCCAGGAGGAUGCUCGUAGGGUUCAGCUGCCCUGACACGAAGUCUGCAGUCACCCCAUAAAGCAGUGCAACCCUUCGGGAUGUGCCUUGGAAGUUGGUGUAGGGGGAUGUCCGGCCCAUUCCUGCCUGCCCCCCUGCUUCGGUUUGGCUCAUCGCAGGUGAUAGCACAGCAACACAAGGCAAAUGCAUGCACAAAACAUAGAGAAUAACUUCAUGAAGUUUCUCUGCUGCUCAGUUAUCUUCAAAAAGCCAUCUAGAAAGGCCCGCAGAUACACCCCUACUUAUUAUUUUGUAAGAAAAGAGCACAAAAGAACUUAAUCCAAAGUAAAUAUUUAACCAAACAGCAAUUAACUAACAAUGAUGGAUUGUAAACAGCGCUGCUCCGAGGCUGAGCUGCAGCUCUCCUCUGUUUCUCUGGGCUACGGCUGCCCUAAGGGGGAAGGCAAGUUUACCGAGUCAGAUUUGUCUCUGCCACCUCGCUAUUAAAAGGCUCUACAAACAGAAACGGCAUCGGAUGAUCUGAGAGCGAGGAAAACAAUAAAGAACACAGCAAUGCAGGGCACGGGAGUUGUAAGGCUUUAUGGAGCAACUGUCCUUGGGAAGGAGGGCUGAGCAAACACGAAGCUGUAAAGGAACUGCUUCCCAUCCGGGCAGCUUGUGUGAUACAUCCCAUGGGGCAGCAGUCCCACUUACCCACGAGGAAGUAGUGAUAAUAACAAUAAUAAUAAUAAUGUAUUUUAAUAUUUUAAUACUUAAUACUUAUUAAAUUAUUAUUAUGUCCCAUUUGUUAUUGUUAUGCUCCAUUAUCAUUAUGUUCCCUUCGGGAAGAUGUCCCCCCCACGGAUCACUACUUCCAUAAUAAUAAUAAUAAUAAUAAUACCACCACCACAAAUUCUAGUAAGUAUUAUCUCUUAUUUCCCACCCCCAGGUGCCUCCGGCAGCUGCAGCAGCCCGGCCAGGCUCUGUCCGUGCCCCCACCUGCACCAUGGCCCAGGGAAAGGGGUGGUUAUGGGGCGGGGUGGUGCACGGGGGACGCUCCCAUCCCGGCCCCUCUCCGCUCUGUCCCCGCGGCUCCCGGCGCGUCCCCC